rnacentral:lncRNA from 1 species
UGGCUUAGUGGCAAGAAGUGUGUGGAGCAUCUGAGGGGAGGCAUGGGUUCAAAUCCCAUGGCAAGAUUUGUGGCUAGAUUUGGGCUAAAAGGGCCACACGAGCAUGUGGGCCCAUUUGGGUCGAGAAUAGGCUUUAGGCCCAUUCGUAUUGUUAUCCUUGUUUAGAAUACUUUAGUUUACCAAAUUACUAAAAUGCCCUCAAAUUGUAAAAUUACCAAAGUACCCUC